UAGUGAGGAUGGGAAAUUUGU
rnacentral:miRNA from 1 species